CAACCCUAGAAAUCGAGUACCCAACCCAAAUACAUCCCCGUUCCAUCCCCACUCCCCUGCCGCCGCCGUCCAUCCCCACCUCCCUGCUGUCGCUCCACCACCUAUGUCCCCGCCGCCGUGCCAUCGCUGCCCUCGUGCUCCAGCGUCACCCUCGUCCUCGCUGCCCUCGUCCUCACGCUUCCCCCACCCCACCGACACAUGUUCCCUACCAUCGCCGGGGUCGCAGCCGCCGAUAGACCGACCCCGAGAUCCGUCCGUCCACCGUCCCCAACCCCAUUCCACAUCCCCGAGCCCUCGACCCCAUCCCCUCCUUCCUUCCUUGCAGUCACAGCCGCCGAGAGCUCCGUCCCCUGCCGCCUUCACCGACCAGCCCCCUACCCCACCCCCAAGAUGAAGUGAAUGCCUCUUAGGGAUUCUAGCGCCACCGCCAACCACCAUCGGAGACUGCCAUCCGCAAGCGCCAGCAUCGCCAUAACUACCGAAUCACCUCGGGCUGGUGGGAGUGGGCGUUGCUAGGUAAGCACCGAUGGUGGGAUCCCCAAUUUGUUUUCUUUGUUCUUGUUCUUCCAACCGUGACUAGCACCCUGUGUCUCUAGUAGAUCGAACUGCAAGUUUGCUGCAACUUUGGAGUUGUAUUGUUGGUAGUUGCUGUGGAGUAGUUUGGACAUGUUGUUGAUCUGAAGCAUAACCUGAUCCCUUCUCACUUAAUCAGCCCCUUUUUGUUUAAGAAGAGCGUGUAGUAUUACAAAGGUUACUACUUGGAUCUGUAUACCACUGAGAAGCAAAGCAAUCAUACCUUGUUUUAUUUUCUAAUUGUUUUGCCCGAUCGAUGGCUAGCGGGACAUGGUACUUUAGUUCUUGAAUUCUAGGCUUGCAAGUGUCUGAAUUCUAGGUCUGCAUCAGCAUCAUAUGUUAAUCAGAUAUAUGUGUAACCAGCUAUACUGAUGAUAUUGCUAUAAUAAAUAGUAAUUCUGGAGUACCACUUCUUUUUGUAGCUAGCAUGUAGGCUAUAAGCUCUCGUUGAUGCUAUAGAUGGUCAGGUCGGUUUCAAUUUUUUCCGGACAAAAUUAGAUUCCAACCUAGUUUGUAGGAGGUUUGGUAGAUAUACAAGUCACUAUAAAAAAGUCAGUUGCACAGUCAAAUGACUGAAGUGAAAUAUUCUCAUUGGAGAAAUUUGCAACUGUUACCAAAUUGCAAAUGCAGAAUGAGAUAAUUGUAAGCUUAACACUGCAGAAUCAACGUUUUAUAAAUAUUGUUGGAUUAUCAAGUAUGCAGUAGGGGAUAAAUUUUUAACGGCUGCCUAUAAUGUCAACAUUGUCUAGGCAAAUAACAUGUUCUUUUCCGUUAUUUUUUUCCUUGAGAUGGUAAUACGUUUUAAUACGUGGCCUCAAAAUCUGGAAGACGAAAUUCAUUCAUUGAUACAAGUUUGUUUGCUGUGUUCCCUCCCUGUCAUUUAAACCCGCCAUUCGCUGAGUAAUUAUGGAUAAAUUUGUUGAUCUUCUCUUGUACGGUUUGGUUCAAGCACUUGUGUUUAUGGAGAAAAUUUACACUAGCUUGCACCUGUGGUCAAACAUUUAGGUCAAAAAUGCACCUGCUGCAUGGCCUAUUCCUUCAAUUUGUGCAGUAAGAUAAUGUGAUGAAUCAUUCAUUCAUAUAUUCAUAUAUGUGUUCAGAUGCUUCUUUCCAAACAUAUAAAAUGUGUUCAGAUGCAUGUCUUCAGUUCAUGUUUUUCAUUUUUUUCUUGGGACAGGAAAGUAGUAUGUAAUGCACGUAUCUCCAGAUGAGAUAGGAGAUAGAUAUAUUUAUGUGUCAGAUACUACUGUCUGACUAUUUGUGGUAAUAAGUAUUGGUGUUAAGUAGAAUCUCCAUUUUUGUUCCCAUCAUAGGACCAUUAAACAGUCCGAUGCGAGCCAUAUAUUUGAUAUUAAGCAAGUUGUCUGUGGAUGUUCAAUACCCACCUAAUUUGAGCUCCCCGUUUCCUUAUGCAGGUACCAAAACAACAAGGUUCUUUCCUGAUGUCCUGCUUAUUGGAGGGGGGGGGGGGGGGGGAUGAUGUAGCAUCGAUCACUAGUAGGCCAAGGGUGGUUGAUACAUGUCUUCACAUUUUUCAGAGCAACGUGCAGUGGAAGAAGCAGCCUAUGAACUGAAAUAGUUUGCAUAAGAAAUAGGCGAUGUACUCAGCCACCUACUACACAUGGAUGUGAUGACUUCGGAGUGUUCUGCAGCAUUUGGCUGUUUGCAGUAUUUUGGACCAGCCAACUUGUGGUCAUGAAUCUUAUGUCUGUUUUGGACCAUUUGGUGCUUCAAGUGUUUUGGAGCAUAUAUCUUGUGCUCAUGGGUGUGAUAUAAGUGUUUUGGUUCAUUUAAUGUUAGAACUCUUUUAGAACAGCAAAUAGUGGUCCCUUUAUGUGGCUUGUGUUUUCUCGAUGGUGGUCAAAAUGGCCAAACUUUGCUAUGUAAGGACUGUCUUGUUUUUGAACUUCUGAUCAAUAUAUAUAUGUAUGUUUGUGAACA